GGUAACGGUCCAGCUUGCUGGAAGCCGACGAGCGGCGGACGGGUGAGUAAUGCAUAGGAAUCUGCCCAGUCGUGGGGGAUAACCUGGGGAAACCCAGGCUAAUACCGCAUACGUCCUACGGGAGAAAGCGGGGGCUCUUCGGACCUCGCGCGAUUGGAUGAGCCUAUGUCGGAUUAGCUAGUUGGUGAGGUAACGGCUCACCAAGGCGACGAUCCGUAGCUGGUCUGAGAGGAUGAUCAGCCACACCGGGACUGAGACACGGCCCGGACUCCUACGGGAGGCAGCAGUGGGGAAUAUUGGACAAUGGGCGCAAGCCUGAUCCAGCCAUGCCGCGUGUGUGAAGAAGGCUUUCGGGUUGUAAAGCACUUUCAGUGGGGAAGAAAGCGUGCCGGCCAAUACCCGGUACGGACGACAUCACCCACAGAAGAAGCACCGGCUAACUCCGUGCCAGCAGCCGCGGUAAUACGGAGGGUGCGAGCGUUAAUCGGAAUUACUGGGCGUAAAGCGCGCGUAGGCGGCUAAGUAAGCCGGUUGUGAAAGCCCCGGGCUCAACCUGGGAAUGGCAUCCGGAACUGUUUAGCUAGAGUGCAGGAGAGGAAGGUAGAAUUCCCGGUGUAGCGGUGAAAUGCGUAGAGAUCGGGAGGAAUACCAGUGGCGAAGGCGGCCUUCUGGACUGACACUGACGCUGAGGUGCGAAAGCAUGGGUAGCAAACAGGAUUAGAUACCCUGGUAGUCCAUGCCGUAAACGAUGUCGACUAGCCGUUGGGUCCCUUGAGGACUUAGUGGCGCAGUUAACGCGAUAAGUCGACCGCCUGGGGAGUACGGCCGCAAGGUUAAAACUCAAAUGAAUUGACGGGGGCCCGCACAAGCGGUGGAGCAUGUGGUUUAAUUCGAUGCAACGCGAAGAACCUUACCUACCCUUGACAUCCUGCGAACCCUCCGGAGACGGAGGGGUGCCUUCCGGAAACGCAGAGACAGGUGCUUGCAUGG
rnacentral:rRNA from 1 species